AACGAACGCUGGCGGCAUGCCUAACACAUGCAAGUCGAACGAAGUCUUCGGACUUAGUGGCGCACGGGUGCGUAACGCGUGGGAAUCUGCCCUUGGGUGCGGAAUAACUUCUCGAAAGGGAUGCUAAUACCGCAUAAUGUCGUAAGACCAAAGAUUUAUCGCCCAAAGGAUGAGCCCGCGUAAGAUUAGCUAGUUGGUGGGGUAAAAGCCUACCAAGGCGACGAUCUUUAGCUGGUCUGAGAGGAUGAUCAGCCACACUGGGACUGAGACACGGCCCAGACUCCUACGGGAGGCAACAGUGGGGAAUAUUGGACAAUGGGCGAAAGCCUGAUCCAGCAAUGCCGCGUGAGUGAUGAAGGCCCUA
rnacentral:rRNA from 1 species